rnacentral:lncRNA from 1 species
AGAGAAAAGCUUUAUGGACAGAAGGUUUUGCAUCACACAGUUGUUGUUUACACCUGAAGCUGGAGUACAAAUAAAGCCAUCGCUCUUUACUGCCAAUCCUGCUCUAAUCCAAGCCAGAGCAGCCUAUGGAGCUGCAUGACAGCACUCCUUGCAAUUGUUCCUUGCAGGUGUAGCUUUUAUACACAUUUGACAACAGUUGUCCAGGUCAACUCACAUGCUGAGUCCCAUUUAGUGCAACAAAGAAACAUGUUAAGUAAAGCAGGGAGGGCAUUAUUCAGAAAGGGGAACCUUGGCCUUGGAUGGAAAAGGGAGAACAUGGAGUUAAUUUUCUGGUUUGAAUUACCCUGCAGACAAGUUCAGCUUUUUCCACUGAAUGUCAGGGGACCCCAGGGAGACAGGCCACCAUGGACAGAAGUUUCCUUGGCAGGCAGCAAUUACAGUCCCAUAGACUGACUGGAUAAAAAAAUGAAGCCUAAAUUGUAAAACACUAUAAAACAUUAGGUCUAAAAUCCAACUAUUUUCUCCCUCCCCAUUUCUGUUCCUUUUAUACAACCAUCAGCACCAUCUGUUUCUCCUGUAUCUUCUUCCUUGCUGAGUGUGAUGGAUGCAUUCGACCCCCCUAACCAAACCAGCAGUAGUUUGGUAUGGGCUCCAAACAAUGUAAAGGCUUGAGCCGUAACUGGGCCAAGAACUCCUCCAGGAAACCCACAAAGAGGCAGAAUGACCCAAUGAGCAUCAAUGCAUAUGAGCUUGGAACACCGAUCAUGCAGUUAACACAUGGAUAGCAGGUGGUUUUUCUAAGACCCAUUUAUCAAGGAACAAAGAAAGUUGUGGGUACAGGGAGUCUCAUGCAUACCUUUCCCAUCAUACAUAAUUUGACUAUAAGCCAGCCAUUUUAUCCCAUAAAUAUGACAGCCUAUAUAAGGCUACAUGACAGCCUACAUAAGUGAGCCUUAUUUGAGCUCUCCCUACUAGGCUGAGUGGCUGCAUGGUGGUGAUCUCCCCUUGAGCUGGGACACCUCUCAAGCUUGCUCCUUGAGGCAGAGAGACCUUUCUACUAACAACAGAUCUUUGGAUGAGUCCAGUUCGAGCUCUCUCUGAACUGUAGCUGGACUGCAUGCCACAGUGACCUUCCCCUUCAGCUGGGAUGCUCUCAAGGUUUGAGAUCCCUUACCUGAGACUGAGAGAUCCUUCCUUACCCAAGGUGGAGCGACCCCUUAUUCUCAACAGAUCCUUAGUAAGUUGUUAUAGUAUGCUAAAUAGUGAAAUCCUUGUAGUUAGUUCCUUUAGACACAAACCAUGGUCCAAGUCUGAGACUAAGAUUGGACAUAGUCACACCUAGGAGUGGAUAUUCCGUCAGGAAUAUAAAAGCAAGAGGGGCUGCUCUGAACCUCAUGGCUCAACAGGGUGGUGUCCCUUACCCUUUUGCAUCUUCGGUCUCUGUGUGAAUCAUUUCAGCUUGAUUCCACCUCGAUUUUCCUUUGUAUGUUUCAUUCAUGUAGUAAGUAAUAGAGUGAACCUUGCCAUCAAACUGGCAAUUUAUAAAAGUCACACUUCUAUACAUUCAUAUUAAAACCACUCUUGCUAAUACCUUUGAUGGUGAUUCUCUGAGGAUCCUAAAUCAGGGUUCAUGACAAAUUGGCGUAGUUGGCAGGAUGGAAAGUCAUGGAAGAACAGCUAAAGGUGCCAAGGGGACAUAUAACGGAUGGAAAAUGAAAGGAAUUAUUUACAAAAUGCGAGGCACCUGCCUAGAAGCUGCUUGACAGUUUAGGAAGAAUAACAAUAAAAAGGAACAGGACCUAAAGGAAGAAAUAGAAGGCAGAGAGGCAGCUGAAUUAAUACUGCCUUUGAAAAUUGAGCAGCUGCAGAAACAGUUUACAGGAAGAAAAUGGAAAAAAAAAUCCAAAAGUUGGGAGAAAAGGUUGAUAUUAUGCUUUUGCAGGUUAGGAAAUUAACUGUAUCCCCUGAAGAAUGUGAUGGAAACACACGGAGUAACCCCGACGAUAGUGAACUGGGGGAAGAUGAUUCUUUGUCUCCCUCAAAUGCCCCUGAAUAUGAGCCUAGACCCAUCAUUAAAGCAGAACAAUCUGAAGGACCUCGGGGUGGUGCUCCUCAAUAUAUUGUACAAGUCACUCACUGGGAUCUGUUACGAUUGGCAAUUUACGGGAAAGCUUUAACAGAAAGCCAGGUGAAACUGAAACAGAGUUUUUGUGGCAAGUCUGCCUAAGCAGUGGUGACCAAAUAACACUGAGUGGAAAUGAACAAAACAGCUUUUGUGGUCCAGGAGUUUUCUUAAAUUUAAGACCAGACCUGGCAAAUGCAUCCCAUUGUAUCACCAGCAGGGUAGCUUACUGGGCUAGGGGAAUAAUGUUGUGGAGUAAGGCCAACCUUUUGUAACUCCAGUAAGAUCUCUUAACAAGCUCUCCACAGCCAUCACAAAAGCUGCCUGCAUACAAGCCAUGCAUAAAUGAGAAUCCAAUGGUAUUCCAAUAUCUGCUGCAAUUGAUUAUACAAUGCUAAACCCCUGCUUAGAGGAGCCCUGGCAGUUCUUAAACCCUACUUAAUUGCAAGAUGGAAUGAAAUUAAAAGAGAUACAGAACACAAUAAAGGAUUAGGUGAUAAUGAUCUACAUAACCAACUCCCUACCUGGGCAGAAUUAACGCAUGGCGUUAUAAACCAUGCCUGAGAAAUGGGGUGGGACGACCUGCUAGCCAGAAAGUCGGACCCAAAACUCCAAACAGGAGAUCAUCGAGUGUAACAGCUGGAGCUAGACCAAGGGAGAAUAUGCCUAAGUGAAUUGUGGAAGAAAGCAUUGGCACUAGGCAUUCCCAGGGAUGAGAUUCAGAGACAGCCUACUGGUAUUAUCCUAAAUCUAACUGCAGUGUUUGAGAAAUGUAAUGAUGGCAAAUGGAGGGAGUAUGCCCCAGUUACUUCGGUGCCAUCACCUUCUCCAAGAAAGUGAUAACCCUUUUCACCCCCUCAGGGAGGAAUUGCAAGGCAUGAGGCCAAAAAACAAGUAAUGCCAAGACAGUAACUGGGCUUGCCUGUCAGACAAGUGGAAUUCUGUCAAUGGAUAGAUAGUGAUGGCCCAUAUAUUUUGAGUCCAGUUGGUCCUUGAUGACAACUGAUGAAAUUUCUAAUUGAUACUGGAGCACAAAUUUUAAUACUAAUACAACAGGAUGUAUGACCCAGACAGCAAAAACUUAAAGACACUGGAGUGAAUGGAGCAAGUGCUAUUUGCCAAACUGCAAAAGUUAAUUAAUGGCUCCUGGGCGAGAAGCUCAUGUUGCAGUUUUGCAGUUAAAGAUCACAAUAAAAACAUUUUGCGUUUCAAUGUUCUGAAUGGCCAAAGCUGGUAUGUGCCGGACAGCAGCAUGCGGUCCUUUGGUUCAAACAUUGACCCUAAUCCUAAUAGAAAUCAGGAGGCUACAGUGCAUGUACUCCACACAGCACCUGCACUCCCUGAUUCAAAGAUCACUAAUGUACCACAACACUCCAUUUCUGCUGCUGCUGCAGGAAAGGGAAUUUCUGGAAUCAUAGCUGAUUUAGAGAAAUGAUAAAUCAUCUCCAGAGCCCACUCCCCAUAUAAUUCACCAGUCUGGCCAGUCCGAAAACCAGAUGGGAAAUGGCGACUAACGAUUACUGGUGCUUAAAUGCCAACACAGCUCCACUAACAGCUGCAGUACCCGCUGUUGCAAUCCUAACAGCCACUACAAGCAGCUGCACACCCCUGGAUAGCAGCACUAGAUGUAAAAGACAUGUUCUUUAUGUUCCCCUUACAAAAGGAGGAUAAAAAGAAAUUUGCUUUUAUGUGGGACAGUAUAUAAUAUACCUGUAACAGACUCCCACAGGGAGUUCACCACAAUUGCUCAUUCUGUGCUUGCUGAACUUUUUCUAAUAGUCUCACUUCCUCAGAAACUGUACCAAUAUAUAGAUAAUAUUCUAACUGCAAGAAAUUCCCCUAAAAACGUAGGGGAAGUGGCAACAGCAGUGUGGCAAGCACUGCAUAAAACAGAAGUUGAGAUCUCACCUGAGAAAUGUCAGGGACCAAGAAGAGAAGCAAAAUUUGGGGGUACUUGGUGGAUAGCAGGCAGUGUGGUGAUUCCUCCAGAUACCUUAAGAGAAAUAGAACAGCUGCAAAUGCCCCAAUUUUGGAAAGAAUUACAACAAUUGAUGGGAACUUUAGGAUAUUGGAGGAAACGUACCUGGACUUUCUGCCAUUACUCGCCCACUGUACUCAUUCUUACGAAAGGGAAAACCAUGGAGAUGUAACCCAGAACAUGAGGAGGCAGUCAACACUAAUACAGGAAUUAAAAACAUAUCAGUCAUUGGGACCAGUACACCCCUACGACCCUAUUAUAGCAGAAUGGGGUUUCAUUG